CUGAGGGCAGAGGCCCCUCUAGCUGGACCUUCCAAUGCUAUGAAUCUAGCAGGGAAGGUGUUGCCUCCACUGCUGUGACACUAGUGGUCCGAGAGGUGCCUGUGUUGUUUGGAUUUGGUUUUUCUCAUCUUGGUUUACAGCUAGUAAGAUAAGAGAUCAGGGUGGCUUGUAUUGAGGCAAACUGGCUUCUGUUUUCAGCCCUGAGGAGCUGGGGGUUAAAGGCUUUGAAAGGGAGCAAGGGGCUCUUGGGCAGCUUCUCUCCUCGUGGUCACAAUACUUCCACUUUCAUUUGUGAAAGAAAAACCAGGAAGUGAAGUCCCAAGCACGUUAGAAAGCUCAGCCAUGGCCUGACUCCGGACAGCUCAGAGCAGGGCAUACAUGGAGACCUCUGAGACUGUCUGCCUGCCGCAUGGAUACUCUGAAGCCACUCUGUCCCUGGAGAAGCCAGGGGUAAGGAGAGAGGGACAGGGACGAAACUUGUGUGUCAGGAGGAACGUGGUGCCAGGAAACCCCAUUUACUGGAAACGCCAGGGCCCUCGGCCCCUCUCAGGGUCAGGAAAGGAGAAAACUAUGGAUAGAGAGAGGAAAGAUGAACUCAGUGAAGUACCAGCACGUACUAAGCACUCUUAUUUAAUCAAGACAAUCUUUUGAGGUGGGUGAUUGUGUCACUUUAGGGUUGGGAAAGUAAGCAGGGCAGAGAGGCAAAGCAACAAUCUCCAGGGUCACAAAGCGAGCAAGUUGUCAAAAUGGGACUGAAACUGCUGUCAGUGUGAUGCUGAAAAACUGUCCUUCAUCCACACACAUAAAGUGCGUUAGCCUUCCUUCAGAUUUCCCAGAAAAUUUAAAUUUGUGAAAAAGAUUUUCGUGGUAGGAUGAUCUGAACAGUAGGUAUUGAAUUCACAUAUUUAUAACCUUUGUUUCAGGUUGAAACAUUUAGAACCCCAAAUGUUACAACUACUAUUCAAUGAACAUUUUCUAGAAAGCUAUACUUUGCUUCAUGUUUUAUGGAGAUUUUACUUUUUGACCUUCAAAACAGUCCUAUGAGAUAGCUACUUUAUUUCAUACACAAGAAAAGUGAGGCUUAGCAAUAAAGCCACAAACACUCUAGGAUUAGAUUGGAUCUGGAAGUUAAACUCUGGUUCUUUUAAUUCGAAGGUGAUCUCUGCCUGUUUCUGAUGAAUCUAGUUUAGUACAUAGGCCAAAGAAUUAGGGACUGGAAGAAACUUGUCUUUUGAAAAUCCUCCCAUCUUGGCUCCAUUGAGACAGAAAAUCAACUGGUAGUAGUCAGGGGUUGGGGAGAGAGAGAUGCAGAGGCCGACUGCUUCAUGGUACAGGGUUUCCUUUGGGGGUAAUGAGAAUGUUUUAGAACUAGGUAGAAGUGGUGGUUGCGUGACAGUAUGAAUGUACUAAAUUCUUAGAACACUUUGAAAUGGUUAGUUUUUGUUACGUGAAUUACACCUAAAAAAGUAUCCUCUCACCUUUAGGGCUGGUGUGUCCCAAAUCAGGAUUUGGCUAUUUUUUUAGAAACCAAGGGUGCAGUUCCUGCAGAUACACUGACCCUUGUUAGGUGUGCCCAGAGGCGACUCUUGAGUCUGGCAGAGACCUGCAAAGGUAGCCUAGUGCCAGCGACCACAAGCUUAGCCAUCAUGGUUUUCACCUCAUCCCUCUGUAAAUAAGUCGAGAUGUUUCCCCAAAUCCUGAGGUCAGAAGUGAGCUCUUUCCCCUUGUACAGGGCCUCACACUUCCUAGGUUCUCAAAUCCUAGGGAUUGAAUCAAUCUAUGAGUUUUUGGAGAUUGAAAGAUCAGAGAACCCAUGUACUGCAGUUACCCAGCUAGGGAAAAGUCUGUUGGGGCUGGUUAUAGAUCUCUCUGCCUCCCCCAGUCAUUCUAUUCUGAGAGCAGUGGGGUUGGGAGUGGUUUGUAGGAGGACACCGGGAAGGGGAAGAGGGGCUGGGUCAAGAUAAGAACACGCCUCCUCCAACUAGCAGUGCUGUAAUAGAAACAAGGAGUUGUUAAGACUCUCGCAUGUCAGUAGAACGAAGAUCGUGAUAGUCUCUUCUUUUGUAACAGAGCAUCUGAUGCUACUGGAAGAAGGAAGAGAGAGUUCGUCUUUACUGAGGACUCUAUGUAGCCAAUAGUAUACUAGAAACUACACACAUUAUCCCGUCUGUGUGCAGUUAAGGAGUUCUGAUGCUCAAUGGCACUAAGUAACUGUCCUCAGGGCCACCUGGCCGGUAAGUGGUGGAGCUGCUGCUCUGCCAUCUGGAGAAGUGAUGGCCUUGAAAGUUGGCCUCUGAAAAUAAGAGUAUUGGCAAUAAAGCUGGCUGCUUGUUCUUUGAGUCUGGUGACUCUUGACCAUUGGUCCAGCCAGGUAGCACGAGGGCUGAUUCUGCAAAGAACUGAGGCAGAAAGGCCUUUUUCACAAGCACUUGCAUCACCUGGUCUUAAUCCUGGCAGUGUUAAUGGAGACUCAGCACUUUGUCCAGCCUAUCUUUUUACAGACCUUCUUAUCAAAUCCAGUGGACUUGUGAUACUGGUUCUCCUUACCUUGCUUUUCUCAUAGAUCACUUGGUCAGCAGUAGGCUUGGGUGCCCUUGAGGCCAUGUACCUUGACAAGACUUCCCUCAGGAUGGAGCUACUGAGAUUUGACUGAGAUUUGUUGAAGCACAGUGCUAGAUGAAAGUUGGCCAUAUCAACCUGAGCACCAGUGGGAUUUGUCACUUCUUAUCUCCACCCCCAGGGGUGGCUCCCCACUAUCCUACUAGAUUCAGGUAAGAGGUCCUUGGUAUUGACUUAACAAGCAUCCUAUUAAAGACCUCUCAAGUCAGCUGGCCAAGGCAUCCCCUCCCCCCAAGUGUCUUCAUGUUCGUGACCCAAAUUGUUUGGGGUUUUUUUUUGGUACCAGGGAUCGAACUUGGGACUUUGCACUUGCGAUGCAGGCGGCAGAACCACUGAGCUAAAUCCCCGGUCCACAUGACCCAAAUUGACUCCAGUAGUACAGUGAUUACACAAGGCCCUGGACACUGUCAUUUUUACACUUCCUGGAGGCUUUAUCUUUUUUUUUUCCUUUCAAUUAAAGAUGGACCGUCCCUACAUUAGAAAUAGCUCCUCACCAUUUCUCACCCUGAAAUGUCCCAUUUUUUCUCAUGUGUGCCUCCAGCCACAUCCAGGCAUUUCUCUCCUUCCCUUCCACUUAGGUUCAUCCAACCUAAUGUGAUGAUUGGUCUGUCCAUGAAGAAGGCAGAUAAGCAACAAGAGAUCCCAGUUGAGAAAGAUAGUUUGGUGCUAAUAGCCAAGCAGGGUUUGAGCCCAUGUAGCCUGACUCAAGAGGUCUGGAAGGCCAGCAUAGUGAUAUAUGCCUAUAGUCCCAGCACAUGGAAGGCUGAGGCAGGAGGAUCACUGUGAGUUCAAGACCAGCCUGACUACAUAGCAAGACCCUGUCUGAAAAAACAGAAAGGGAGGGAGAGAGAGAGAGAGGGGAGAGAGAGAGAGACCUGGAAUAAGAGUCGGGGUCUUACUAGCUGUAGACUUUAUUGGUAUGAUCAUCACCUUUGAUUGCCCCUGGAAAAGCAACAUUGGUGAUAGACUGAGUGUUCCAUAUGGGCAUCUUGAUCUACUCCAGUGUACACUGGCCACCCCUUUCUUCAAAUUCAUGAGCUCAUUCCACACACUACAAAUCUGUGCUUUUCAUGUUAGAUAGACCCAGAAGUCCCCAGAGAGUAGGAGCUAUGACUUCUGUCUGUCCCUCAACACAUAACACAGUGCUGGACACAAGUCCAAGAUCUUUGCCUUAUUGAAAGUUAAUGUAUAAGUUAACUAAGAGUCUUCCCACACACAUAUCUCUCUAGUCUACCAAGGGACGCCAAAGCUGGGGUACAUUCCACAGAACGCUUGUCUUAAAGUAUUACAACUGCCAGGAAUUGACUUUGUUUUCUCCUAGACUGGAUCCAAGUACACUCUCUCCCCUCUAGCAUCCUGCCUGGUGCACAGUAAGUGUGUGCAUGCCCAAGUGCAUCAUGAUGAGUGAACUUUGACCUUGCUCAAGGCAGGCUUCUUAGUGUUGCCUCUCAUGGCAUCAAACCCUCCCCCCAGCUGUGGUUCCCACAGAAGAUUCGGCUGACUGUCCCUGGGUAGGAGCAUGGUGCAUUUCUUGAAUUCUGCAACUAGAUCCUUU
ensembl:lncRNA